GGCAUCAUCUUGCCAGGAAAUGAGAUUCGCCUCGGGAGGGGCUCACGUGAUAUUAGCUAGUUGGGGGGGUAACGGCCCACCAAGGCGAAGAUGUCUAGCGGGUGUGAGAGCACGACCCGCGCCACUGGCACUGAGACACUGGCCAGACACCUACGGGUGGCUGCAGUCGAGGAUCUUCGGCAAUGGGCGCAAGCCUGACCGAGCGACGCCGCGUGUGCGAUGAAGGCCUUCGGGUUGUAAAGCACUGUCGAGGGGGAGGAAGGCGUAAGCUUGACCUAACCCUGGAGGAAGCACGGGCUAAGUUCGUGCCAGCAGCCGCGGUAAGACGAACCGUGCGAACGUUGUUCGGAAUCACUGGGCUUAAAGGGCGCGUAGGCGGGUCUGCAAGUCCGGGGUGAAAGCCCCCAGCUCAACUGGGGAAGUGCCUUGGAAACUGCGGGUCUGGAGGGAGGUAGGGGCAUGUGGAACUUCGGGUGGAGCGGUGAAAUGCGUUGAUAUCCGAAGGAACGCCGGUGGCGAAAGCGACGUGCUGGACCUUUACUGACGCUGAGGCGCGAAAGCCAGGGGAGCGAACGGGAUUAGAUACCCCGGUAGUCCUGGCCCUAAACGAUGGGUACUAGGUUGCGGACUAGACAUGGGUUCGCAGCCGAAGCAAAAGUGGUAAGUACCCCGCCUGGGGAGUAUGGUCGCAAGGCUGAAACUCAAAGGAAUUGACGGGGGCUCACACAAGCGGUGGAGCAUGUGGCUUAAUUCGAGGCUACGCGAAGAACCUUAUCCUGGGCUUGACAUGUGCGAAAGCGGCAGGGAGUAGGGAGCGGAAACGUUCCCCAACG
rnacentral:rRNA from 1 species